AAAAAAAAAAGAAAAAAGAAGCUCCUCUUCACUGCGUGGUAGCAGCUAGUCUUGGACUGUUUCUGACUCGCUUAAAACGUAAAGGUCUUUCUCAUAUUUGAUAUAUCUGAUCUUGGUGUGAUGUGGAACAGAACCUAACUCUUUGGGGAGCUCAUAUUGUUUUUGGACAUUGAAGGAGAUGACAUCCAGAGAGACCUGCAGAAAUCCACCAUGGGCAUAUAUGUCAUCAACAAGGAGGGUGGAGAAAUUGGAG